UUGCAAAUAGUUCUAAAUUGAACUGAAAUAAAAUAUAGGAACUGAAUUGAGUGUAUUUUCAGAUUUUUGCUAGCAUGCAUCAAGACAUUUUAUGUCUUUUACAGUAGAACAUAUACUAUUUUUUUGCCAAAUAACUUCAAACAAAACAAAAGUGGAGCUUUAUUUACAAGAAUAGAACUAAACAUAUGCUAGUUUCGAUCCAUACAAGGUUUUCUCAAAUGCUUAUUAAGGCAUAACACAAACGCCUAGUGUACUAUAGAAUAGUUAAAUAGGUGAACUAGAAAGCACACAAAACAUGUACUUUAAAAACACAACAUGAUGAGCGCUGCAUCGUUGCACGACCUCAUGUGGCAGAGGUGAACGGCUUGCGGUAGCAGAGCUGAAUGGCCUGAUCACUGCACAAAGAUCAACACUUGUAAUUUUGUACUUAAACGGCUUAAACAAGACAACAAUGAUCACUUGAACUGAUGGGACAGUAUCAUGGGAACUUAUAGCAAUUUAUCAUUUGAACUAAUAGCAAUAGAAAUUAGAAAUGUGUACUGAUGGGACAAUAUCAGGGGAACUUAUAGCAAUUGAUCAUUUGAACUAGUAGCAAUAGAAAUUAGAAAUUUGUACACGGAUACAACUUAUUGGCUGAGGUAGAAACAAGAACAAGAAUUACAAGAAUGAACCAACCUCAAUCCAAACCAAGCAUCACAAGAAUUAACACUUAAUGAAAGUACAAAAUAUUUACCAUACAGAAACUGAGAAACAUAGUGAUGGCUCAAAAUUUAUAUAAUAUUAAAAGAAAGUAACCAUGUAUAACCAACAUGAGUAUUCAACAAUCACAAAGUGGUAGGGGGG
rnacentral:lncRNA from 1 species